AGACAGGGGCUCCAGUCUCUCUGAGCCCACCACUGCUUCAGGGUCUUUUAUCCCGAGCAGCAGCGUGGCGCGGGAUCAGCGCAGUCAGUGUCCGGUGCGCGCUCUGCAGGGCUGCUCUCUGCGCUCUCCGCUCCGCGGGGCUUUUCUACCGGAGACAGCAGCGCUGAGGGAAGCGUUCGCCUUCCGCGGACUGUCACCAGCUCUGCUGGAUAAACCGCAUGACCGGAUUGAAAGAGCGAUGUAAGCCACCGCGAUGCGAGCCUGACCCAGUCGGACUAUGCUGAGCAGAAGAACGCAGCAGAAGAUUGGCCAGGCUUUGGUGGGUCCAAUGGACUAGGCACAGGGAGCGCACAGGAUGAUUAAGAAACACAAGCAGAAGGCUUCCCCACAAGUUCUGCUGCUCAUCUGCAUGGUCGCACUCUUGCUAUCACCAGCAAAUACUGCAGGACAUAAUGCAGUUCACCAUGUCAGAACGGGAACCUGUGAAGUUGUAGCAUUACACCGAUGCUGCAAUAAGAACAAGAUCGAGGAACGCUCUCAGACAGUCAAAUGCUCCUGCUUUCCGGGACAAGUGGCUGGAACCACCCGAGCAGCACCCUCCUGUGUAGAUGCCUCCAUAGUGGAGCAGAAGUGGUGGUGUCACAUGCACCCGUGCCUCGAUGGAGAGGAGUGUAAGGUUCUGCCUGACCUUAAAGGCUGGAGUUGUGCCACAGGGAACAAAAUCAAGACCACAAAGAUCUCUUCUGACCGGGACCAGCUUUGGUAACCGCCAGAAACCAGAUACAGAAUCAGCCUCUACUCCUCCAGGAAGGUUUUACACUAGAUGUUGGAACAUUGCUGUUAACUGAGACUCCCCAUCUUUGCCUCUGGAUUUAAUCUGUGGAGAGCUAAGGACUGAUCUCUAAUGGGAGCUUUUGAAUCAGUCACAACUUUUCCAAGUAACAAAGGCUAGAAGACUUUCCUGAGAGCGCAUUUGGACGCUGCUAUGCGCUUUGCCCCCCUCAGCUUUGUACAUCUUAUAGUGGAUUACUGCAGUAAAUAGCGCUUACACUUUUGCUCAGCCAUAAGGCUCAGAUCCAGACUUUCCUUUCUAUGGAUCCACAGCAUGACAGGGUGAAGAAGUGCGACAAGAAACACAUAUUUUUAGUCAAGCUGAUACACCAAUAUGGCAACUGGACCUAAGAAUAUAAAUACUAGUGGAACAAAGCAUUGUGUAGAGAUGUUAAGGUAUACUGGAGAACUUGUGAACUUUGUUUUUGUAGCUAAGAAAGGUCUUGAAAUUCCGACAUGAAUGUCCAUGUAACCUUAUGUUACGUUAUGCAACUUUUAUUUGCUUUAAUUCUAUCUUAUUAAAUAAAACAUUAAGAUAAUUGCAGGGUCAUAGUGAAAGUAAAGGUUCAUUUUGUUCUUUUUCUAUAUGUAUACUCAUGCUGAUGCUAUCCCAUGUGUAAGUAAUGAUCAUGCAAUAAAUUAUAAUUGUCUUUAAAA